AUACCAGGGGCGGGUGCCGGAACCUUGCCCGAGGGACCUGGUGGUCCAGUCCAUGCUACACUGGGUGCCCCAGGUCAAGAGCUUCACAGCAACAAGAGGCUGGUCCAGGGUGAUGUGCUCCACGUGGCAGGCGUGGAGGGCUUUGACCUGAGGGGGGACUUCCAACACCAGCCAGGCCUGUUAGUCUUGUUGAUGCGGCUCCAGGGAAGAGGAAGCCAGACUGUGUUCUAGCUUUCAUGGGAUCUCUUGGAUGUAAAGCUCAGCGCUCCAGGUUUUGCAGAUUCAGAUCAGGGUCUCCAUGAAGAUGUCCUCCCUGGCCUUCUGAAGUUGGCUCUCCUUCUCCCAGUCCUCCAUUCCUUCCAGCUGGCUCCAUGGUUCCAGGGGCUCAGCCUUCCUGCUGUUGCUGUCAUAGCGGAAGAAGGCCUGGUCGUUGAGGUGAUGACAUUGGAGGCCACAGGAUGAAACAAAAGUGUCCCAGGAUACAAACAGUCUGGUCUGGAUUCCUGAGUCCGCCCCGCCCGCCGCCCCCCCAACCCCGGAGGGAAGGGAAACUGCCUAGUCUGUAUUCAACUUUACAUGACCUAGAAAUAAACAUUUGUUGGUUAAGUCACUAAAAAC